CUUUUUAUUAAUUGUGAGGUCCAUAUAGCCAUUUCAAGCGAUUUGAUAACGGUUGAAAAAUCACUAUCCUGUGAUAGCGACGAUACCCUAGCUAAUACUGGGCACGGAUAAGCUCCCUGUUCUGGGAAUUGUUUUUUAAAAACCUUGUUAAAAUAAUUGUUUAAAAAGCCAUUUCUUGGCGCGAAACUCAUGCAUGUCUCAUGCCAAAUUUCUAAAGAACAGCAAAACACAGUUCUAUCGGUGACAUUUACAGAUAGUGGCGUAAAAGUGAGGCCAAACACGUGAUUCGAGCUGAAUGUGUGAAAGUUGGAAACUGUAUAGUGUCAUAUAGAUGUCAUACGCUACCUGAGUUGACUAAAAGUACCAAUCCAAAUGUAGAAUCUGACUCAUCAACUGUAUUAGUAAGACGAUAGAUUGUCAUGGCAAUAACACCAAGUGUACUCAGAGUUGCCAAUAUGAGGAAGGCAAUUUCAAUCUUUUCCAAAUCUGAAGGGACUCUUAGCU